UAACUAAUAGUUAAGAUAGGAUUCAGAGGAACAUCAAUGCCACAAAUACAAGAUAGGAUUGUUAGCCACAGGAAUUGAAGUUAUUUAAAUAAGUUGCUUUAUGUUAAUAGUUUAGCUACUUAUAUAGUUAAUGGUCUUUUAUGCAGGUUUAUCAGGCUGCUUCCUUACUUUAGUUGAUACUUCAUUUGACUCUGUUGUUGUGGCUUUAUGACUCUUGGUUCAGUUGAUGUUGUAAUUGUAGAAAAGUUGUUUUAUCCUUCAUUGAUACUGUAAUCAUGUGUAUGUUUUGCCCAUUUAGUAUUAAUUUGUUGCUAUGUUAAAUAUGGUUGAGAUUGACCUGUAGUUUUUGUUGCUUUAGUUUUUUUUUUUUAUUAUCAGAAAUAAUGAAUAUUCCAUUACUGAGAAGGAGAAAUAUCCUCAUACAAUAAGUUUGAGAGAAUGCUUGGGGCCUGGUACAAAAUUCCCCUAAAAUCAAGCACCCCCACAUUUCUAGAGAGCCUAUGUGCUACCUUGUUAGACUCUCUAGAGAUGUGCCGGAAUUGAACAUUAAAAAUCUUACCACUCCUAUUGGCAAUCUCCUCUACUAUUGACAAAAUUCUCCAUGGAGUUUGGUCUUUGUGGCUAGCCAAGGAGCUAAUAACCACUAACGCAUCGAAUUCGAAGAAUAUACUCUGCCAUGAAAUGCCCUCUACAAAUCUUACCGCCUCCCUAAGAGCUUCCGCUUCUUCAGCCACCACCGCCGAUCUGCAGCAAAAUUCCUUACAUCCUGCAAAAAUCAAUGAACCUCUCGCGUCUCUACACACAAAGGCUGCUUUCCCUAUACCGUUGCUUUGGUGGAAAGAAGCGUCACAAUUUAUUUUGUAGAGUCCAUCUGGGGGGACCUCCCAUGCCGCUGCACCCUUUUGAUUUUGUGAACCUUCAUUUUGAGGUUUGGCCGGCCACAAUAACGGAUCCAGCUCGACCACUUUCUACAAGCUUGUUGCAGUUGUUAUUAUGGGCAAAUUAAAUAACAUGUGCCCGGGCUUUAUAGCUGCAGUGUGUCCAAGAGGGAAGCUUGAGAUCAAGAAAGAUGACCUUUAAUAAAAAGUCAUGUUCUUUGCAAUGCGGCAAUAAUGAAACAAGGUCCAAGCUCACAUGCUUUUAUCAAAGAAUUGAAGGACUAUAAGCAAGCAUCAUAGGUCUAUCACUUGCUGGUGCAUGCAAAAUUUAGCUAGAGGAAUUUGCUCUCUAUCUCUCAUUGCAACUCUUCAAAUUGUCUACUGAUCAGCUUAAGAGGCUUCAUUAACUUUAGCUCAAACCAUAGAUCGAUUAGGUCAUCCUGAAUCAACAAUAAUGUAAGAAUUAUUGAAAGCUCUUAUGGCCAUCCAUUGAAGAACCAGAAGAUUCUUCAAUCUAAUGAAUUCUCAUGUUCAGCUUGCUCUCAAGGAGAGCUGAUUAUUAGUUCUUCACUGAGCAAAAUUAAAAAUGAAUCACCUAAAUUUCUACAAUGUAUACAAGACAAUAUUUGUAGAUUAGUUCAUCCACCAUGUAGACUAUUUAAAUAUUCUAUGGUGUUAAUAGAUGCAUCAAUAAGAUGAUCAUAUGUAUGUUUAUUAUCAACUCGAAAUCUGACAUUUGUCAGAUUACU